GAUGAAGAACGUAGCGAAAUGCGAUAAGUAGUGUGAAUUGCAGAAUUCAGUGAAUCAUCGAAUCUUUGAACGCACAUUGCGCCCCUUGGUAUCCCGAGGGGCAUGCCUGUUCGAGCGUCAUUUCACCACUCAAGCCUGGCUUGGUGUUGGGCGACGUCCUCUUUGGGGACGCGCCUCGAAACGCUCGGCGGCGUGGCACCGGCUUUAAGCGUAGCAGAAUCUUUCGCUUUGGAAGUCGGGGCCCCGUCUGCCGGAAGACCUGCUCGCAAGGUUGACCUCGGAUCAGGCAGGGAUUCCCGCUGAACUUAAGCAUAUCAAUAAGCGGAGGA
rnacentral:misc_RNA from 1 species